rnacentral:rRNA from 1 species
GAUGAACGCUAGCGGCAGGCUUAAUACAUGCAAGUCGAGGGGCAGCGCGGGGUAGCAAUACUCUGGCGGCGACCGGCAAACGGGUGCGGAACACGUACGCAACCUUCCCAAAACUGGUGAAUAGCCUUCCGAAAGGAAGAUUAAUACACCGUAACAUAAUGGAGUGGCAUCACUCGGUUAUUAUAGCUCCGGCGGUUUUGGAUGGGCGUGCGGCUGAUUAGGUAGUUGGCGGGGUAACGGCCCACCAAGCCUGCGAUCAGUAACUGGUGUGAGAGCACGACCAGUCACACGGGCACUGAGACACGGGCCCGACUCCUACGGGAGGCAGCAGUAAGGAAUAUUGGUCAAUGGACGCAAGUCUGAACCAGCCAUGCCGCGUGAAGGAUGAAAGUCCUCUGGAUUGUAAACUUCUUUUAUAGGGGACGAAAAAAGGGAAUUCUUUCCCGUCUGACGGUACCCUAGGAAUAAGCACCGGCUAACUCCGUGCCAGCCGCCGCAGUAAAAC